rnacentral:rRNA from 1 species
UACGGGGGGGGCAAGCGUUGUUCGGAAUUACUGGGCGUAAAGGGCUCGUAGGCGGCCAACUAAGUCAGACGUGAAAUCCCUCGGCUUAACCGGGGAACUGCGUCUGAUACUGGAUGGCUAGAGUUUGGGAGAGGGAUGCGGAAUUCCAGGUGUAGCGGUGAAAUGCGUAGAUAUCUGGAGGAACACCGGUGGCGAAGGCGAAUCUCUGGACAGUUACUGACACUGAGGCACGAAGGCCAGGGGAGCAAACGGG